rnacentral:lncRNA from 1 species
CUCUGACCCCUGUAUGGCCUCAUCUCCCCCCAAGCUGCCUGAGCCGAGCCUUCAAGCACCUCACUGAGCUUCCGGAUAGAGGAAGCCCAGGGCCAGCCCCAGCACAAGCACCCUUCCCAAGACUGAGGUGAACUGAGGUCACCUCCACCCCUAGCAGGGCAGAGCCUGAACCGAGCAGACAAGGAGGAAGAGGACCAGGGAGAUGGCACCAUGAGGAAAAGCACGUCCUGCAGAAGUCUGAGACCUGAGUUCAGAUCCCAGAAACCAAAUAAAGGCCAGGCACAGUAGCAC